AGUGAACGCUGGCGGUAGGCCUAACACAUGCAAGUCGAACGGCAGCACAGUAAAGUUUGCUCUUACGGGUGGCGAGUGGCGGACGGGUGAGGAAUACAUCGGAAUCCACUUUUGAGUGGGGGAUAAUGUAGGGAAACUUACGCCUAUACCGAAUACUACCAAACGGUGAAAGCAGGGGGUCUACGGAGGUUUUGAGAUUGAAUAUGCCGAUGUCGGCUUAGCUUGUUGGAGGGGUAAAUGCCGCCCAAGGCCACGACACGUAGCCGGUCUGAGAGGAUGAUCGGCCACACUGGAACUGAGACACGGUCCAGACUCCUACGGGAGGCAGCAGUGGGGAAUCUUGGACAAUGGGCGAAAGCCUGAUCCAGCAAUACCGCGUGGGUGAUGAAGGCCUUCGGAUUGUAAAGCCCUGUUGUUAGGAAAGAAAAGCAGUAGGUUAAACCCCGGCUGUUCUGACGGUACCCAAAGAAUAAGCAACGGCUAACUUCGUG
rnacentral:rRNA from 1 species